rnacentral:rRNA from 1 species
UGGGGAAUAUUGGGCAAUGGGGGCAACCCUGACCCAGCGACGCCGCGUGGGGGAAGACGGCCUUCGGGUUGUAAACCUCUUUUGUGCGGGAAGAAGGAAGUGACGGUACUGUACGAAUAAGUCCCGGCUAACUACGUGCCAGCAGCCGCGGUAAUACGUAGGGGACGAGCGUUGUCCGGAAUUACUGGGCGUAAAGGGCGCGCAGGCUGUGCUGCAAGUCAGCUGUUAAAUGUCUGGGCUCAACCCGGGCAUGCGGUUGAGACUGCGGUGCUGGAGCGCUGUAGAGGCAAGUGGAAUUCCCAGUGUAGCGGCGAAAUGCGUAGAUAUUGGGAAGAACACCGGUGGCGAAGGCGACUUGCUGGGCAGCAACUGACGCUGAGGCGCGAAAGCCAGGGGAGCAAACGG